rnacentral:rRNA from 1 species
UACAGAGGUCUCAAGCGUUGUUCGGAUUCAUUGGGCGUAAAGAGCGCGUAGGCGGCCCUGUAAGUCCGCUGUGAAAGUCAAGGGCUCAACCCUUGGAUGCCGGUGGAUACUGCAGGGCUAGAGUUCGGAAGAGGCGAGUGGAAUUCCUGGUGUAGCGGUGAAAUGCGCAGAUAUCAGGAGGAACACCGAUGGCGAAGGCAGCUCGCUGGGACGAUACUGACGCUGAGGCGCGAAAGCGUGGGGAGCAAACAGG